GGCUCACUCUCCCUCUGCCAUAGAAUUACCAGGCCCUAAGUAUGAUGCAUUCCACCAAGGAACCAUGUAAUGACAUCUCUUGACCUUCAGAGAUGGAUCAGAGGAGCACCUGCGCUUGGCUGUGACUGAGGGCUGUGAACACCUGGACGCCAGAUUCUAUCCUGUUAGAUCAGCAAAGUAGAAGGACUAUACGCGACGGCAGAGAUGGAAGUGGGCUUCAGCAGAACUCCCCCGCAUGACGGAUGGUGACCAGGCAGGGCAGGGCAGCCAGUCAGCCAGAGAGGAUCAGGAACCCUCAGGAAUAUGAACUAGAGAUCAGAGAUUUUUUCCUAAACAGGGGCAGAGCAUUGAAAACUCGGGGAAGGUAGCAGGCAGCCUGAAUCACUGACCUUCAGGCAAUAUCUCCAUCCACACAGUGAACGGCAGACACGCACAAUCCAUCAAAAGGCACGUGAACUUUCUCUCCUCAAAGGUUCCCUGGAUGGAUCACGCUCAUCAGUUUGGAUAUGAAUAUUACAUAGAUGCAGCAAGCGCAUUGUCUUCACUGUUAGCUUUAGAUCAUUCUGUACAUUUCAGCUGCAUGUGGAUUGCAAAUCGUGGGCCUCUGAAGUAAAAUAGACCUCAGCUAAAUCAACAUUCAACCGCACUCCAGGGGAGCUCAGAGAGACCACAAACGCAUACACUUUAGAUUGUUUACAGCAUACAAAAUUCACUCUCGUCUCCCCAGACUUAAAGAUAUGCCUCCGC